AAUUUAUAGAUUUUUUAGGAGUUAACAUAGGAGAAGGUAAAAUUAAGUUACACCCCAUACAGAUUCUUUUGGUAAAGUAUACUCUAUACUUUUACCACAAUUUGUCUCAAAACUAAUCUUACUAUUUGAUUGUAAUAAUUCUUUAUAAGUAUAAAGUUCUCCAUCCAUUUGUUGUGCUUCUAUUGGUUUAUCUGACUAUAUUAUAUAUUGUUCUGGUAUUAGUUUUUUAUUAAUUAUACAAUUACUACAUUCUGAGUCUAUUAAUCCUAAACAUUUUAAGAUGACUGUUUAACUUUUAAUAGCUUCAAUCCUACUCAGUACUCUCCUUAGUUUUCUAUAAAUCUUUCUUAAGAAUCGUGUAUAAAUCCCUUUUUUUUUUUUAAAUUUUCACCACCUAUGACAUAUAAACUUGAACCUGAUUUCUUUUUAUAAGGUUACCCGUGGCACUCCCUUAUAAAAUUCUUAGAUUAAUUUUUUCCCUUUCCCCAGCAUCUCUAGAAAAUAUCAAAAAGGCUCACUCCGGCCAAAAGUUUUCAUUCAUCUGGGUCACUCGGGAUUAACCUAAAAAUAGUAUGGCUUCUAGAAAUCAAGUUAUGCUUUUAUUAUAUGCAUAGGAUGAAAUGAUAAACAUAACAGAUAUUUACUUAAAACAUAAAUACAAAAAUAUGAACAUAAACUAAUAAAACAUAAAUCAGGGAUUUAUAAAUUCAUCUUUUAAAAAGAUUUACAGCUAAGGAUUUCCCUUUCGGGAAGUCCCUAAAGUUCUAAAAUAAACUUAAAGAAAUACAAUAAUACCUUAAGUAUUCACAAGGAUGAUUCAGCUAUAUAAUGAUUUUUUGGAUUGAGAAUUUUUCUGAGAAAGGUUUCAAAAGGUUUUUGGAUAGCAGAGAGUACACAGGUUGUAAACUUCUGCCUAAACCAAAUGAAACUUGUUUCUUAAAUAGAAAAAUUUUUGGGAGCAAAAAGUCUAAAAUAUCCUUGAAAAGAGCACACGUUUCACCGAGAAACUUCUGGCUAAUUCAAGAUAAAUCUAACAAGUGGAAAGAAAAUUUCCUACUUUUACAAAAGUCUAAAAGUCUAUAGUUUAGGAAUCUUGAAAUUUUCACUAAUUUGCUUAAAAUUCUAAAAGUUUCUGACAUCUUUUUUGAAAAUAAUCAAAAGGCCUAUAGUAUUGUGAUAAGAAUCUUCAGCUUUUCCUUUUUUUCUUCCAUCACUUUUAUCUUGUUCUGCAUUAUUGAGGAUCUGAUUAUGUACUGAGAUUAUGACGUGCCACUGAUGAAAAUGACAUUCCACUAUCUGAAUUAUUGUAUCCUUCUUCAUGUGGAUCUUCGUCUUCAUCUGAAAGUCUGGAGUUACUGGCUUCAUCUUUUUCUUUCUGAUCUGGACAUUCUGCAAUUUCUUUUUCUUCUUCAUGGCUCUUUUUUAAUAUUGUCUCGAAUGCUUGGUUAACUGCUUCUCUUAUUUGUUCUUUUAGUUCUUCAUCAUUUUUCUUCUUUUUAAUCUUUUUCUUUUUUCAAUAAGACUUUUUUCUUCUAAGCAUUUUAUACAUGCUUCUUUAUAACAUUCUAAACAUUUAGCUCUAAGCUUUCUUACUGGGUACCAAUUACAUAAAUAACAAGCUAUAUUGUCUGCUCCUUUAUAUUUUUGCCAAUUAUGU
rnacentral:lncRNA from 1 species